rfam:Drechmeria coniospora strain ARSEF 6962 chromosome 02, whole genome shotgun sequence.
GGCACUUUGGCCGAGUGGUCUAAGGCGCCGUGUUCAGGUUCAGCGAUUCAGUGUAUUCGUACGCUCGAUGAGUCCCUACUCGCGGUCUAGUAAUAGGCGAGGGUUCGAAUCCCUCAGGUGUCA